rnacentral:rRNA from 1 species
GACGUAGGGCGCGAGCGUUGUCCGGAUUUAUUGGGCGUAAAGAGCUCGUAGGCGGCUUGUUGCGUCGGCUGUGAAAACCCGCGGCUUAACUGUGGGCUUGCAGCUGAUACGGGCAGGCUAGAGUUCGGUAGGGGAGACUGGAAUUCCUGGUGUAGCGGUGAAAUGCGCAGAUAUCAGGAGGAACACCGGUGGCGAAGGCGGGUCUCUGGGCCGAUACUGACGCUGAGGAGCGAAAGCGUGGGGAGCGAACAGG